AACACAUAACCUGCUUUUUGGUAGUGAAAAGAAGUGGCAUGGAGGUUAGAGAGCUUCCACAUUGCAGUUAGAAGACUGCAUUUCAGCUCAUGUCCUCAGAAGUUUAGAAGCCAAGAUGUCCUUAGGAAAAGGUACUGUUAUAAGAAGGAAAUAUCACAAAGCUCUUUAAGGCCAACCUGGUAGCCAGCCACAUUAGCCUUCAUUUACAUGGUUCUGUUCCUGUCAAUAAUAACACAUUAAUGGUUCAUUGGUUGAUGUUUCCUUCAUAAAACAGCCAAGCACAUUGACCUGAUUUUCUCAGUUGACCGCAUCCAUUUUAUAAUAAAUUAGAUCAGUGAUUGAUUUCUUAAAGAUGGGCCAUUGUAUUAAGUCAGAGAGGUGAGAAAUUGAUCAAGGAAUAGUUCCUUUUGCAUCAUAUGAAUGCUUCCUAAUUCAUCCUCUAAUCAACUCUUUGAAUCUACAUUACUUGUGUCAAGAAAUUCUUUACUGUCUAACAAGUUUGACUUUACUUCAUUGGCGAUCAUUCAAAUGUGCCUCUUUAAGGAAAUAAAGGGCAACGUUAUUUAUGUCACAGCGUCUAGGUUUUUUAAAAUAAGGCUCUUAAUUAUAAUCUUUAUUUCCAUAUCAAUUCCCCAAACUUGAUUCUGACAUAGAAAACAAUCUUAUGGUUACCAAAGGAGAACAAGAGGGAUAAAUUAGGAAUUUGGAAUUAACAAGUACAUACUACUAUAUAUAAAAUAAACAACAAGGACCACCAUAUAGCACAGGGAACUGUAUACAAUAUCUUUUAAUAACCUAUAAUGGAAAAGAAUCUAAAAAUGCACGUAUACACAUAUAUGUAUAUAUACCCACAUAUAUACAUAUAUAUCACUAUACCCUACACCUGAAACAUUAUAAAUCAACUAUACUUACACUUUAAAAAUGUAAAUACAGACAUUUCCCAUUGCAGCUCAGCAGUAACAAGCCUGGCUAGUAUCCAUGAGGAUGUGGGUUCAAUCCCUGGCCUCUCUCAGUGGGCUAAGGAUCUGGCAUUGCCAUGAACUGUGGUGUAAGUCGCAGAUGUGGCUGCGACCCCAUGUUGCUGUGGCUGUGGCAUAGGCCCACAGCUGUACUUCUAAUUCGACCCCUAACCAGGGAACUUCCCUGUGCCACUGGUAUAGCCCUAAAAAACAAAACAAAACAAAACAAAAGUAAAAACAAAAAAAAAA
rnacentral:lncRNA from 1 species